GACUUUGAAGCACAGCUCCUAGCACAGCAGCAGGCGUGGGCGGCACAGUAGCAGGUGUGGGCGGCCGAGCGGGAGAGGAUGCAACAAGACCUUCGGCAGACACAAGAAGCCUCCCAGCAGAAUCAGAUGCAGCUGGCCCUGGCUUUUCAGUUCAUGCAGACUCUGGGCUCGCAAAUGGGUCUUUUGCCACCGCAAUUCACUCAGACUACUAUCCCUGCGCGUGCAGCUACCCCUACUCCUCCUCAAUCGGCGGCAUCAAAUGAUGGGCCAACAGAAAUGUCCCCUUCGCCGAUGCCUCAGAAUGUGUGGCCGCCUUCUCAAUAGGUGACUUACCUGCAGCAGUUCCAGCAGAACCCUUCGUGGUCGCAGCACCCGCCGCCGCCGCGCGUGAGUUGUGCUUGUAUGGACAUGCACUUUUUGUAUAGACUAUCAUUUGAACUUGUGCUUGUAUGGACAUGUAUGAACUACCAGUGUUUGUAUGGACUUGUAUCGACUACAUUUGGGCUUGUAUGCAUUGUGAUAUUUGCUAUAUUUGCAUU